GGCAACAAAAACUUCCAAUUAAGUUUUAAAAUAAAAGGUAGAAGUUAAAAGCAGCUGCUGCCUGGGGUUAGCACUAUGGAAACCUGCAGUUGCCCGAAGCAGUACUUCAAAAGGAGAAAAAACGACAUUUAAAAAAGCCUACCAGCACGGAGACACUCUCUACUGGAACAGGCAACCCUCUGUUUCGCAAGAACACCGAUCUCAGACGUUUCUUCAACCAGCCAAGGUAUUGCAACUGCCAACGGUCCCUGGAAAUCUUCCCUCAGCUGUCAGAACGGAAACAAUACAGAGAGCACAACCAAGUUCAUUAUUUUGAAUUCAGGAGUCACGUUCAGCCUUCAAUUUCCUCGCGGUUUUUGCUGUUCCGACGCGAAGUAGAAUACUUGGCCUUUUCAUGAAUCUGCUGUUUGAAUUACUUCCUC